rnacentral:lncRNA from 1 species
CGGGCGAGGGAACUCGAUCUAGAAGAAUACAGCCACAAAGAACCGCCAACAGGCUGGAACUCCUCUAGAAUCUCUACUCCUCUACUCAAUCUCUCUAAUCUCUAGACAAGACUAGAUCUAGAAGAACUAGUCUCUCCUAAUUGCUACAUCUAGAUAAACUAGAACUAGAUCAAUUAGAGACCCUAACCCUAAUUAUAUAGAGAAUAUGAAGCACCGGGGUGUAGAAUGCCUCUUGGGGGAGCCUUGGGCAUCAUUAUAUAGGCCGAGGUGGAGUAGGGGCCAAGGAACCGCCACGUCAGCGAUCCGCGUCUUCAUCUUGUGUGCACCGUCGGAUCAAACCGAUUUAAAAUCGAUGAAGGGAUACUUUGUUUGGCUUCCAAGGAGGCGUGGGAGGAAGACUCCAGAAGGCGGCGGGCAUUGGGCGAAGUAGGGCGCCGACCAGCCUAGGUUGGGGCCAGCCUACCCCACCUUUUCUCCUUCGCGGCUCUCGUUCCUUUGGGUGUCUUCUAGACCCUUCCUGAGUCUUCUUGUGAUGUUUUCUAGCGUGGAUGAGUUUCGUGGUAAAUAUGCACUAGAAUCCCUCUUUUCAGCUCUCAGUGAAAUAAACCCUAGAAAAUACAGAAUAUGCAAAACUCGUGGAAAUUAUCAGAUUAAACCCUAGACUAAUAUAUUUUCAUGUGUUCCCUUGUGUCUAAAGUUCUAAUAAAUAUUGACCUUAUCGACCGUCAACAAUUCCUCCAAGCUUACCUUUUGCCAAUCCCUUGGCAAACAACCCAAGCCUAAUUAAUAAACUUGGAUCAGGAGUUGCUACGAUACGUUCAUUUCCUUUAAGUACACUUGCUUUUAAACAUAAAUUGUCUUGUAGUCUAACUUCCAAACUUACCCAUUUUACCUUUAACCAUGGAGCUUUACAACUUUUGCAUAAGUCUUGAGUAAUCAAAAGAUAGAACAAUCAAGUCAAGCACUAUGUCUCAAAUUCUUCACAGUACCAAUAUUUCAAAGUUUUGCAUGUUUUCAAAAUAGAACUCAGAGCUUAAUUGUAUGACACCCUCAAGUCUCUUAUUAUGUAGUAUUUAUGGAUCUCACUGAGGCAUUAAUGAGGUUAUGCCUUCCUACAACUAAGGAUAUGUAUAGUGGAGCUUAUAGGAGUGGCAAUAACAAGGAUGAGCAUACUUGCAAUUCAUAUAUUGUAAAGUCAAACAAUGGAUCCAUAGAGAAUCAAGGCAUACAAUCAAAUCAAGAUGUGUGUGUGUAUGGAAAAUGGUGGAUAGGUGCAUAUAUAGUAUUUAGUGCCUAAUCCUAAUUCUACUUUUCCUCUUUGAAAAUUACUCCCUCCUCAGAACUUUUCACAGGAAAACAUGGGCUAUCAUUAUUCUCUCUUUCUUUUUUUUUCUUUUUUUCAUUACUGUGGGAGGCGGGCAUCAAUGUACCCAUUGUUUUAAUUACUGGGACACUUGUCUAUCUUUUACUCCCUUUUUUUCUUUUUAAAUACUUCUGCAUGGCCACAUGCAUCCUUUGAAUAUAAAUAAUCGAAGAGAUAAUGACAAGAACUUAGAGCAAUAAAUGGGGGCUGUCCUAUAGGUUAUAUUUUUGGGUGUUUACUCCUAAUAUAGGAGAAAAAACAUUUUUAAGAUGGAUCUGGAUGAAAGUGGAAAUGACUGCGCUUACAUCCCAGAGUAGGAGCAAUGCAUAUGUAGGUGGAGUGCGUGAGGGAUCUUGAUUUUAAAAGCGUGACAAGACUCUCAUAAGGUAUACAACAAAUGUUGACUAAACUCAAUGUAAAGCAAGCAACAUGAAUGUGCAAAGAUUUUCCUAACUCUAAAUGUAUCAUAUAUGGCUUUGGUAGGAAAUUAAACUUUAUCAUACAAGAGCUCAUUAUGUAAGAUUUUGGUUUUUUUUGAAAAUAAAUCUCUAGAACUUAGUAAUGCUAGGAAUAAGAUAAAUAGCAGCUUAGACCUUCAUGUAUAAUAUCAAUUACCUAGACUCAGCUUAAAUAUAUGCCUCCACAAAUUUCAGGUUCAGAGUGAAUUCUUAUAUUAAAGUGGUCAUGUCUAAAACUCAGAAGAAUUCAUGGUUGAAAACUAGACACUUGAAAGAAAUAACUGUAGAGCAACUAUUCAUUAUCUCCAAGACAAAAUUUUAAUAUUCUCUAAUUUUUAUUUGACUCUAAACUAGACUGACUGUAGAGACACUCUAUUGAUGACACACACACACACACACACACAUAUAUAUAUAUAUAUAUAUAUAUAUAUAUAUACUCAGAAGACUCUAAAGAUAUGGACUUUCAUGUGCCCAUAUAUUUUUGGUAUUUUUAUAUUUUCUUAUGAUACUAUUGUGAACCUUCAUGUGCUCACAUAUUUUUGGUAUUUUAUGACUAUAUAAAAUAGACUCGAUAAUCGCCUAGGUAUAGUUACUUGAUAACUAGGGGAUGCUCCUCCCCCAAGCUAGAUGUUUGCAAUAGUUGCUGUUGAUGAUCUUCAGAGUGAGCUAACCGGCAGCGCUAAUAGACUCUCUUCUUGUCAUAAUGUUGUUCCUGCAUAAUUACACUCCAAAAAAACCAAAACUCGAGGCUCGAAUUUAAGCAGGAUUCUCUUUUCUUUUUUUAGGAUUUUAUAGUUUAAUUAUAUAUAAAUUAAUUAUGUGUGGAUGAUAUAUAUAGUUGUAUUUUUAUGCCUCCACAGAGAAUAUUUAUUCUUAUGGGGCUUAGGCUUUUCAUAAUGCAAGAAAGUAAAUACAGAAGCUAUUAUUAUUAUUAUUCGUUAUGUCACCACAACAAAUAUUCCUACAGAGUUACCAUGAAUUUAUUUCUGUGGAGCUUUUAAUAUUUUAUGAUACAGUAAAUGAAGCAAUAGAGAUUUAUUUUAUUUUAUUUUUUAUAUUUAUGUAGAUGAAAAUAUUAAAGUAAAAUUAUUAAUGCAGAUAGGAAUACUAAUUAAUUAGAUAACUACCAUAUUACCUUAUGGCAAUGCUGUAAAAUUUAAAGUUUACCGACAGGUCUUCUUCUUCCACUCUUGUGUAUCUCUUCAUCUUAAGAGAUGAAGGUCUUGUUAGUUGCACCCCUCUAGUGAUGAUGAUGUCACCUUUGUUCUUUGAUUUGGCCAGCAGGCUGAAGGAGAGUUUUAAUAGUAGCUGGCAGCAUCUUGCUUAGUGUGCAUGUUCACAGAAAUUUCACUUGUAGAAUUAAUAAACUUUGCUUGAUGUGUUGUCCUUUGCAAAACUAAGGUAGAGAUCAGGUGCAUGGGCUCUACUGGUGGAAAAACAUCAACAGAACCAAGUAUAUUUCUUUAUUUAUUUUUCUCCAUCCUUGGGCACAUUAAACAAGAUAAAGUUAUGUUACAUGAUUUAUUUAUUUAUGAGUGGUAAGAUCAAAAGAUUAAGCAUUUAAUGUUGCAUUUAAGUUCACAUGAUAGAAAAGAAUGAAAUUACUUAAU